UCAGGACGAACGCUGGCGGCGUGCUUAACACAUGCAAGUCGAGCGGAAAGGCCCCUUCGGGGGUACUCGAGCGGCGAACGGGUGAGUAACACGUGAGCAACCUGCCCCUGACUUUGGGAUAAGCCCGGGAAACUGGGUCUAAUACCGGAUGUAACCGCUGAUCGCAUGAUCGGGUGGUGGAAAGUUUUUCGGUUGGGGAUGGGCUCGCGGCCUAUCAGCUUGUUGGUGGGGUGAUGGCCUACCAAGGCGACGACGGGUAACCGGCCUGAGAGGGCGACCGGUCACACUGGGACUGAGACACGGCCCAGACUCCUACGGGAGGCAGCAGUGGGGAAUAUUGCGCAAUGGGCGGAAGCCUGACGCAGCGACGCCGCGUGAGGGAUGACGGCCUUCGGGUUGUAAACCUCUUUCAGCAGGGACGAAGCUAACGUGACGGUACCUGCAGAAGAAGCGCCGGCUAACUACGUGCCAGCAGCCGCGGUAAUACGUAGGGCGCAAGCGUUGUCCGGAAUUAUUGGGCGUAAAGAGCUCGUAGGCGGUUUGUCGCGUCUGUCGUGAAAGCCCACGGCUUAACCGUGGGUCUGCGGUGGAUACGGGCAGACUAGAGGCAGGUAGGGGAGAAUGGAAUUCCCGGUGUAGCGGUGAAAUGCGCAGAUAUCGGGAGGAACACCGGUGGCGAAGGCGGUUCUCUGGGCCUGUACUGAC
rnacentral:rRNA from 1 species